ensembl:lncRNA
CUGAGGCCUGUUUCAGGUAGCUGAUUUAACAUAAUCUGAAUUUAAUCCUGCGCUCUGAGUUGGUUGACUCAGAGUUCAGGGUUGAAAAGCAACUCUGGGUUUUCGGUUUUAGAACAGGUGAUCAGCGUUGGGUUAAUCAACUCUGAGUAUGUUCACUCUGGGUUGAGGGCGUGCCUGUUGACUAUGAAGAGCCAUCAUCAAUGGAUCUCUGAUAACAUGAUCAAACAUGGACCAAAAGCGUAGAUCCACUUACUUUUCCCCCACGGAAUUGGAAAUUCUAAUGAACGUGUAUGCCGAGCAGUUACCCAUUUUAACCAAAAAAGCAAUACCGCCGCGGCAGCGAGAGCGCGAGAGAGAGCUUGGCAGGAAAUAGCUGAACAAGUCAAUGCCAAAUCGAAAAAAUGCAGAGGCCCGGCAGACUGGAGGGGGUCCACCACCUGCAGCCCUCACAGAGGCUGAGGAGAUGGCCCUCAGCCAACAGAGUAUGCGUCCUGUGGCUGAGGGCAUCCCUGAGGGGAGCUCCUCUGAUCCCCCCCCCCCCAGGAUAGAAGUGCCUUUACAGUAUAAGAG